GGCGAACGCUGGCGGCGUGCUUAACACAUGCAAGUCGAACGGAAAGGCCCUGCUUUUGUGGGGUGCUCGAGUGGCGAACGGGUGAGUAACACGUGAGUAACCUGCCCCUGACUUUGGGAUAACUUCAGGAAACUGGGGCUAAUACCGGAUAGGAGCUCCUGCUGCAUGGUGGGGGUUGGAAAGUUUCGGCGGUUGGGGAUGGACUCGCGGCUUAUCAGCUUGUUGGUGGGGUAGUGGCUUACCAAGGCUUUGACGGGUAGCCGGCCUGAGAGGGUGACCGGCCACAUUGGGACUGAGAUACGGCCCAGACUCCUACGGGAGGCAGCAGUGGGGAAUAUUGCACAAUGGGCGGAAGCCUGAUGCAGCAACGCCGCGUGCGGGAUGACGGCCUUCGGGGUGUAAACCGCUUUCGCCUGUGACGAAGCGUGAGUGACGGUAAUGGGUAAAGAAGCACCGGCUAACUACGUG
rnacentral:rRNA from 1 species